AGCGAACGCUGGCGGCAGGCUUAACACAUGCAAGUCGAACGGGCAUCUUCGGAUGUCAGUGGCAGACGGGUGCGUAACACGUGGGAACGUACCCUUCGGUUCGGAAUAACUCAGGGAAACUUGAGCUAAUACCGGAUACGCCCUUUUGGGGAAAGGUUUACUGCCGAAGGAUCGGCCCGCGUCUGAUUAGCUUGUUGGUGGGGUAACGGCCUACCAAGGCGACGAUCAGUAGCUGGUCUGAGAGGAUGAUCAGCCACACUGGGACUGAGACACGGCCCAGACUCCUACGGGAAGCAGCAGUGGGGAAUAUUGGACAAUGGGCGCAAGCCUGAUCCAGCCAUGCCGCGUGAGUGAUGAAGGCCUUAGGGUUGUAAAGCUCUUUUGUCCGGGACGAUAAUGACGGUACCGGAAGAAUAAGCCCCGGCUAACUUCGUG
rnacentral:rRNA from 1 species